CCGUCUGGAAGGACAAGACAAGAACAAUAAACACCUGCAUAAUCACAAGACUAAAUAGUCCAUUCCUCGACAUCAAAAUAAACUAAUCUUUUCUUUUAUCAUGGGUGCAGUACUAGAUAAGGUAACUCCCCAAGGGAAGCCAGGGUAGAAAUGACAAAGCCAGGGCUUUGGAGAACACUGCCCAAAGAGGUCAGGACGCCAAAGAGGAAGAGGAAGAGCUGCGUCGUGUUGGUGGGGAAAGUCCAGGAUUUACAGGCCGUUACGCCACAAGAUCAAAUGUAAGCGCUCUAUCCACGUGGACAGCGGAAAGACAAUGGACAAAUGGGGUGCUCCGGGAGCCGGCGAGCUAUUCGGGUCACCAGCUCUGUACUUCCCUAAAUAAAGCCAUUACAUGUUA